rnacentral:lncRNA from 1 species
AGAAAAAUAAAUAAGGCUCAAAAGGGGUAACGAAGGAUAAAGUGUUUAGGUAGCAGAACAAAAUGCGAAGGAUAAAGUGUUUAGGUAGCAGAACAAAAUGCCUUCGUCAUUCCAGUCUUCAAAACAUGCUUAGUGCAAACAACACAAUUUAAAUUUGUAGUCUCUUCUGAUGGUGCUGGACUUGUCAAUUAUGUUAAACGUUUUAUUUUUCCUUUGUCAUUUCUAAAGCACCGUUGGGCGACACUCUCAUUAUCAUGACCGACCCUCAUGCCAAUUUGGCGAAUCUUGCUUUUAACGGUUUUCUUUGUGCUUAACUUGCCCCAGUUCCACAUGACUCGAGCUCUGAAUAAUCUCAAACCGUCCUUAUUUUCUUUAAAUGGUCUGAUCGUCUUUCCAGGGUUUUAGGAUUAACUUUAAAGACUAGGCCCAAAGUGAGUGCGCAUGUCAUGUCCCUAGAAUCGGCAUUGAAUGAAAUGAUAAAAGGACUAAACAAAAGACGACUGGAACUAACAAAAGACCG